AUAACGGUCCUAAGGUAGCGAAAUUCCUUGUCGGGUAAGUUCCGACCUGCACGAAUGGCGUAACGACUUCCCCGCUGUCUCCAACAUCGACUCAGCGAAAUUGAAUUGCCCGUGAAGAUGCGGGCUACCCGCGGUUAGACGGAAAGACCCCGUGCACCUUUACUACAGCUUUACAUUGGCAUUAGUGACGACAUGUGUAGGAUAGGUGGUAGACUUUGAAGCUUGGGCGCUAGCUCGAGUGGAGUCACCCUUGAAAUACCACCCUUGUCCUUAUUGAUGUCUAACCACGGCGCUACAACGCCUGGGACAAUGUAUGGUGGGUAGUUUGACUGGGGCGGUCUCCUCCCAAAGCGUAACGGAGGAGCACGAAGGUUGGCUAAUCCUGGUCGGACAUCAGGAGGUUAGUGCAAUGGCAUAAGCCAGCUUAACUGCGAGACAGACACGUCGAGCAGGUACGAAAGUAGGUCAUAGUGAUCCGGUGGUUCUGAAUGGAAGGGCCAUCGCUCAACGGAUAAAAGGUACUCCGGGGAUAACAGGCUGAUACCGCCCAAGAGUUCAUAUCGACGGCGGUGUUUGGCACCUCGAUGUCGGCUCAUCACAUCCUGGGGCUGAAGUCGGUCCCAAGGGUAUGGCUGUUCGCCAUUUAAAGUGGUACGCGAGCUGGGUUUAGAACGUCGUGAGACAGUUCGGUCCCUAUCUGGUGUGGGCGUUGGAUGAUUGAUGGGAGCUGCUCCUAGUACGAGAGGACCGGAGUGGACGAACCGCUGGUGUUCGGGUUGUCAUGCCAAUGGCAUUGCCCGGUAGCUACGUUCGGAAUCGAUAACCGCUGAAAGCAUCUAAGCGGGAAGCCCCUUCCAAGAUGAGAUCUCCCUGGACCCUUGAGGUCCCUGAAGAGCCGUUCAAGACCAGGACGUUGAUAGGUCGGGUGUGUAAGCGCUGCGAGGCGUUGAGCUAACCGAUACUAAUUGCUCGUGCG
rnacentral:rRNA from 13 species